rnacentral:rRNA from 1 species
AUUGAACGCUGGCGGAAUGCCUUACACAUGCAAGUCGAACGGCAGCGCGGACUUCGGUCUGGCGGCGAGUGGCGAACGGGUGAGUAAUACAUCGGAACGUACCCUGUUGUGGGGGAUGACUAGUCGAAAGAUUAGCUAAUACCGCAUACGACCUGAGGGUGAAAGUGGGGGACCGCAAGGCCUCACGCAGCAGGAGCGGCCGGUGUCUGAUUAGCUAGUUGGUGGGGUAAAGGCCCACCAAGGCGACGAUCAGUAGCUGGUCUGAGAGGACGAUCAGCCACACUGGGACUGAGACACGGCCCAGACUCCUACGGGAGGCAGCAGUGGGGAAUUUUGGACAAUGGGGGCAACCCUGAUCCAGCAAUGCCGCGUGUGUGAAGAAGGCCUUCGGGUUGUAAAGCACUUUUGUCCGGAAAGAAAUCGCGCUGGUUAAUACCUGGCGUGGAUGACGGUACCGGAAGAAUAAGCACCGGCUAACUACGUGCCAGCCGCCGCGGUAA